UUGUAUCUUAAAAUUAUGAUUAGAAAAAAAAUUAUGAUUAGACCAGAAUCAAACCGUCAAGUAUGUAUGUAAACAACUGUCCACCCGGUAUCAAAACCAACCUGAAUUCGAAAUACUUCAUCUUGUUUGAAAUAAUAAAAAAUUUCUCACCAAAAUAAACAUCAUGUUAUUAGGUUUCAUGAGUUUUUUUUUAUUAUUUGCUCUCUUCUCCUCGGUUUAUUUCAGUCUAUUAUUUCUAUGGGUUAUGUAGUGUAUGAAUUCCUAUACUCUUAUAUCAUUUUUAACGUUAACAAUCAUCAAUACCAAAUCAAGUUACCAAUAUAUCUUCAUCUAAAGAAAAAACAAUAACUAAGAAAUAAAUAAGAAUCAAUAAGGAAACAUCUCCUCAUCUUUGCUCAUGAUUGUUAGGAAGAGAUCCGAUAUAGCCAACGCGGAGAACGAACGGGGUAUAUAUAGUGUAUGUCAUAGAGAACUUAAAAUGGGUUAAGUUCUCUAGCAAAGCUCAAAAUAUUACCAUGGCUACUACCAUGCUCCAAGUUGUUGUGAAUCCAAAGCUUGCCUUCAUUGAACUUAGCAGAUACUAAACAUUUAUUUAUCCUGCUCUACAUGUAUAUAGUACUAG
rnacentral:lncRNA from 1 species